rnacentral:lncRNA from 1 species
ACGAAGUAAGCUCGAAUCGGAGUUGUAACGAAGAAAAUACGAUUAAAAUAUCACGAAGGGCAAAAUAGUAAAUAAGAAAAUCAGAAUUUUUAUAAAAACCUCAGCUUCUCUUUCUCUUUCCCUCUCUCUCUCUCUCUCUCCCUCCCGAUAGUUCUAGAAAACCAGUUGGGCAGCCCCCUUCCAAGCCACCCCAAUGCCACCUCACGCCACCCCGACCCUCCGGAUCGGACCCAGCAGCACCGGCCAGCUCCCGCCAUCAACCCCAGCCCGUCCGCCGCCCCUGCUGCUGUCUGGAGCCGCCGGAAACUGCUGGAAAACGCAGCAGUUUUGGCAGAUUUUCCAACCUCAGUUUCUCC